CUCCAAAUGUGUCCCUUUCUUCUUGCUACAGCAGAAUGUACCAAGAGCAGCCAUGGUUAGGGUUUGGCCAAGCUUCCAACUUUAAUAAUGUCAUUCAUUCGCUGUUGCAGUUUCCGACUUAGAUCAUUGACUGAUCUUUCAAGAGUUUUUGCUCCUUUUUUUUCUUCUUCAAGCUUAUCCUCGAGCAGGAUAAGUUGCUGGCUAUCCUCCCUCAUUUUCUUGAUUUCAUUCAGAACCGCUUCUUGAUAUGAUUUGAGCUCAUAUUUGAGCUUUGAUUUACCUGAUCAAUAGUAAUAGCAUGUCAAUCACUUGAAGAGAAUACGAACCGGAAGCAAGUGUAAAUCUCAUACACGUUAGUUUGAGAUUAAAUCAGUUAAAAUGAUCCAGGGCAUUUACUUAGAACCCUCAACAGUAUGAACGAAAAAGAGCACCUUGGCAAUGCUGGUUGAAGCAAUCCAGGUCCUCUUUCACUGCCAUGAAACCAUAAAGUUGGCGCUCUCCUCCUGGCAAGACUUCGUUUGUACAAGAAUUCCAAGCGGAUCUAUCCAAUCGUUGGUCCAAAAAAUUCUGAUGCAGUCGUUCGGCUUCUAAAUAACCUACCGCAGAGCUCUCAAAGAUUAACACGCUCAAACCACGGUGACCUUGAGGACCAUAGGAAUGUUGAGCCUUUAAAGCAGGAAACGAGCUGAAGUGUUCAAGAAGCUCUUGACUUCCCAUGCCAACAAACUGAAAGAAGUUGUAAAUUGCUUGCACAUUAGAUAAUAUAAUGUAUAUUACAAUUUUCAAUCCAAUCAGUGCUAGAAACCAGCAUCAUUGGUUCAAUUAUUAAAAACCAAAA